AGUCCCGUGGGGUAGUGGUAAUCCUGCCAGGCUCUGGACCUGGCGACGGCGGUUCGAAUCCGCCCGGGACUA
rnacentral:tRNA from 1 species